AUUGAACGCUGGCGGCAGACCUAACACAUGCAAGUCGAGCGGAUGAAAGGAGCUUGCUCCUGGAUUCAGCGGCGGACGGGUGAGUAAUGCCUAGGAAUCUGCCUGGUAGUGGGGGACAACGUUUCGAAAGGAACGCUAAUACCGCAUACGUCCUACGGGAGAAAGCAGGGGACCUUCGGGCCUUGCGCUAUCAGAUGAGCCUAGGUCGGAUUAGCUAGUUGGUGAGGUAAUGGCUCACCAAGGCGACGAUCCGUAACUGGUCUGAGAGGAUGAUCAGUCACACUGGAACUGAGACACGGUCCAGACUCCUACGGGAGGCAGCAGUGGGGAAUAUUGGACAAUGGGCGAAAGCCUGAUCCAGCCAUGCCGCGUGUGUGAAGAAGGUCUUCGGAUUGUAAAGCACUUUAAGUUGGGAGGAAGGGUUGUAGAUUAAUACUCUGCAAUUUUGACGUUACCGACAGAAUAAGCACCGGCUAACUCUGUGCCAGCAGCCGCGGUAAUACAGAGGGUGCAAGCGUUAAUCGGAAUUACUGGGCGUAAAGCGCGCGUAGGUGGUUUGUUAAGUUGGAUGUGAAAUCCCCGGGCUCAACCUGGGAACUGCAUCCAAAACUGGCAAGCUAGAGUAUGGUAGAGGGUGGUGGAAUUUCCUGUGUAGCGGUGAAAUGCGUAGAUAUAGGAAGGAACACCAGUGGCGAAGGCGACCACCUGGACUGAUACUGACACUGAGGUGCGAAAGCGUGGGGAGCAAACAGG
rnacentral:rRNA from 1 species